rnacentral:rRNA from 1 species
GUGGGGAAUAUUGGACAAUGGGCGAAAGCCUGAUCCAGCCAUGCCGCGUGUGUGAAGAAGGUCUUCGGGUUGUAAAGCACUUUUGGCAGGAAAGAAAUAGCGCGUGCUAAUACCAUGCGCGAAUGACGGUACCUGCAGAAUAAGCACCGGCUAACUACGUGCCAGCAGCCGCGGUAAGACGUAGGGUGCAAGCGUUAAUCGGAAUUACUGGGCGUAAAGCGUGCGCAGGCGGUUUUGUAAGACAGGUGUGAAAUCCCCGGGCUCAAACUGGGAACUGCACUUGUGACUGCAAGGCUAGAGUGUGUCAGAGGGAGGUGGAAUUCCGCGUGUAGCAGUGAAAUGCGUAGAGAUGCGGAGGAACACCGAUGGCGAAGGCAGCCUCCUGGGAUAACACUGACGCUCAGGCACGAAAGCGUGGGGAGCAAACAGGAUUAGAAACCCGAGUAGUCC